AUUAUAUUGAAUACUUCCUUAUUGAUGCUGCAUAUUUUCUUUGUGAAUAUUUUAGGACUUUCAUCAUUUAACUGGACUCCCACAUCUUCUAAGGGAUACAAGCUAUUGGACCAACCAAGUUGAGCCUUUGCAUUGCAAAUUCAGUGCAGAAGAGUAUCUUAUUUCUUUUAUUUUUUUUUAAGGUUUCUCUCUGUGGUCCAGCCCAUCACCUUCAUAUUUCUAGAAGAAGGAAGAUGAAAAGAAAAGGAAAAAAGCCCUUACAACUUCAUAGGGGUGUCUAUCGCAACACAGCAUGCUGACAAUCUAAAGGAAGCAGACACCAGCGUUACAGUCACAUCUUUAAGCUGAGCCCUGAAAACAAACGGCAGCACUGAAAGGACUAACCUCUGCUAAAGACCCGGGCUCUCUUUCUACCAAAGAUGACACUCCGAGAAGUCAAUAACCUGUCCAAAGUUACACAGAGGGUCACUGCACAUCCUGGGGCGGGACACUGACAU